rnacentral:ncRNA from 2 species
ACAGAAGAUAGAGGUGGGUCAAACAAGAGUAGCUAAGAUGAGGUUGGAGAGAAACCUUUGAUCCUUAGCGAAAGGGGAUGGCUCCGAAGGGUGGAUUUCUCUUAAAUCCAUGCCUGGUUCCCGGAUUAAGAGUCCUUGAAUUGUCACCGUUUUUCGGUGAAGAGCUAUCGUUUUG